CAUUUCUUUGGCUCAGUCAGUAGAGCAUGAGACUUUUAAUCUCAGGGUCAUAAGUUCAAGUCCCACAUAAAUGU